UAUAUAUGUGAAGGAAUGACGGAGAGAGGAAGCUGCAGCCAGCGGCUGGAAGAGCUGGUGCAAGCGAGAUAUCGGGAUGGCAGGCAAAUCCACCAUCCGAAACGAGAAGGCGUGAAGCGUACGGAAAGCUACGGCGAGUACGGAAGGCAGUGGAGGAACUUCCAAGAAAAGUUUCUAACGUUAAGUAUAUAUGGCCCGUACCGAAAAUGGACACACAUGGGUGAGGAGAGAAUCCUAAGGUGAGCGAGAGAACUAUAGCUAAGGAACUCUGCAAAAUGACUCCGUAACUUAGGGAGAAGGAGUGCUCAUAGAGAUAUGAGCCGCAGUGAAACGGCCCAAGCGACUGUUUACCAAAAACACAGCUCUCUGCUAAGCCGCAAGGCGAAGUAUAGGGGGUGACGCCUGCCCGGUGCUGGAAGGUUAAGGGGAGGGGUUAACGCAAGUGAAGCCCUGAACUGAAGCCCCAGUAAACGGCGGCCGUAACUAUAACGGUCCUAAGGUAGCGAAAUUCCUUGUCAGGUAAGUUCUGACCCGCACGAAAGGCGUAACGAUUUGGGCGCUGUCUCAGCUGUAGACUCGGUGAAGUCUUAGUACCUGUGAAGAUGCAGGUUACCCGCGACUAGACGGAAAGACCCCAUGGAGCUUCACUGCAGGUUGAUAUUGGGAUUUGAUGCAGCAUGUACAGGAUAGGUAGGAGGCAAAGAGAUGGAUACGCCAGUAUUCAAGGAGCCGCUGUUGGGAUACUACCCCUGUUGUAUUGGAUUUCUAACCGGACGACGUAGAGCCGUUGACGGGACAGUGUCAGUCGGGCAGUUUGACUGGGGCGGUCGCCUCCCAAAGAGUAACGGAGGCGCCCAAAGAUACCCUCAGCUUGGAUGGAAACCAAGCGCAGAGUGCAAAGGCAAAAGGGUGUUUGACUGCGAGACCCACAAGUCGAGCAGGGACGAAAGUCGGGCUUAGUGAUCCGGCGGUGCUGAAUGGAAAGGCCGUCGCUCAACGGAUAAAAGCUACCCUGGGGAUAACAGGCUGAUCUCCCCCAA
rnacentral:rRNA from 1 species